UCCGCCAUCUUACUGGGCAGCAUUGGAUGGUGUCUGGUCUCUAAUACUGCCUGGUAAUGAUGACGGC
rnacentral:pre_miRNA from 1 species